AAUCCUGGCCACUGCUCUUAAUCGUCCCUCUCCUGCUUCAGGGUGGCAUUGUGUGUCCCAGAGUGCCGGAGCGAGUCCCAGAAGAGAGGCGAGGCUAAGCCCAGAGCGCUGGGUUGCUUCAGCAGGGAAGACUCCCUUCCCCCUGCUUCAGGCUGCUGAGCACUGAGCAGCGCUCAGAAUGGAAGCCAUCGCCAAAUAUGACUUCAAAGCUACUGCAGACGACGAGCUGAGCUUCAAAAGGGGGGACAUCCUCAAGGCGAAGUCUCACUCUGUCGCCCAGGCUGGAGUGCAAUCGCACGAUCUUGGCUUGCUGCAACCUCCACCUCCUGAGUUCAAGUGAUCGUCCUGUCUCAGCCUCCCGAGUAGAUGGGAUUAUAGGCGCCCGCCACCACACCUGGCUAAUUUUUUGUAUUUUUAAUAGAGAUGUGGUUUUAUCAUGUUGGCCAGGCUGGUCUUAAACUCCUGACCUCAAAUGAUCCACCUGCCUCGGCCUCCCAAAGUGCUGGGAUUACAGGUGUGAGCCACCAUGCCCAGCCUACUAAAUUAUAGAUCAUUUCUAAU
rnacentral:lncRNA from 1 species